AUGUUUCUGCUUCACGAAUAUGAUAUUUUUUGGACAUUUCUAAUAAUAGCAAGCCUUAUUCCUAUUUUGGCAUUUUCGAUUUCAGGACUUUUAGCCCCGGUUAGUGAAGGACCAGAGAAUCCUUCUAGUUAUGAAUCGGGUAUAGAACCCAUGGGAGGGGCUUGGGUACAAUUCUGAAUACGUCAGCACCACACAAGCCUGGCCAGGCAUAAAUAUUUUACAUCUCACGUCCACACCAGGCAGUACCGGCCAUCAAGGCAUGAGGGUUAG
rnacentral:rRNA from 1 species